UACGAAGGGGGCUAGCGUUGCUCGGAAUCACUGGGUGUAAAGGGUGCGUAGGCGGGUCUUUAAGUCAGGGGUGAAAUCCUGGAGCUCAACUCCAGAACUGCCUUUGAUACUGAAGAUCUUGAGUUCGGGAGAGGUGAGUGGAACUGCGAGUGUAGAGGUGAAAUUCGUAGAUAUUCGCAAGAACACCAGUGGCGAAGGCGGCUCACUGGCCCGAUACUGACGCUGAGGCACGAAGGCCAGGGGAGCAAACGGG
rnacentral:rRNA from 1 species